rnacentral:rRNA from 1 species
GCUUGCUUCUCUGAUGUUAGCGGCGGACGGGUGAGUAACACGUGGAUAACCUACCUAUAAGACUGGGAUAACUUCGGGAAACCGGAGCUAAUACCGGAUAAUAUUUUGAACCGCAUGGUUCAAAAGUGAAAGACGGUCUUGCUGUCACUUAUAGAUGGAUCCGCGCUGCAUUAGCUAGUUGGUAAGGUAACGGCUUACCAAGGCAACGAUGCAUAGCCGACCUGAGAGGGUGAUCGGCCACACUGGAACUGAGACACGGUCCAGACUCCUACGGGAGGCAGCAGUAGGGAAUCUUCCGCAAUGGGCGAAAGCCUGACGGAGCAACGCCGCGUGAGUGAUGAAGGUCUUCGGAUCGUAAAACUCUGUUAUUAGGGAAGAACAUAUGUGUAAGUAACUGUGCACAUCUUGACGGUACCUAAUCAGAAAGCCACGGCUAACUACGUGCCAGCAGCCGCGGUAAUACGUAGGUGGCAAGCGUUAUCCGGAAUUAUUGGGCGUAAAGCGCGCGUAGGCGGUUUUUUAAGUCUGAUGUGAAAGCCCACGGCUCAACCGUGGAGGGUCAUUGGAAACUGGAAAACUUGAGUGCAGAAGAGGAAAGUGGAAUUCCAUGUGUAGCGGUGAAAUGCGCAGAGAUAUGGAGGAACACCAGUGGCGAAGGCGACUUUCUGGUCUGUAACUGACGCUGAUGUGCGAAAGCGUGGGGAUCAAACAGGAUUAGAUACCCUGGUAGUCCACGCCGUAAACGAUGAGUGCUAAGUGUUAGGGGGUUUCCGCCCCUUAGUGCUGCAGCUAACGCAUUAAGCACUCCGCCUGGGGAGUACGACCGCAAGGUUGAAACUCAAAGGAAUUGACGGGGACCCGCACAAGCGGUGGAGCAUGUGGUUUAAUUCGAAGCAACGCGAAGAACCUUACCAAAUCUUGACAUCCUUUGACAACUCUAGAGAUAGAGCUUUCCCCUUCGGGGGACAAAGUGACAGGUGGUGCAUGGUUGUCGUCAGCUCGUGUCGUGAGAUGUUGGGUUAAGUCCCGCAACGAGCGCAACCCUUAAGCUUAGUUGCCAUCAUUAAGUUGGGCACUCUAAGUUGACUGCCGGUGACAAACCGGAGGAAGGUGGGGAUGACGUCAAAUCAUCAUGCCCCUUAUGAUUUGGGCUACACACGUGCUACAAUGGACAAUACAAAGGGCAGCGAAACCGCGAGGUCAAGCAAAUCCCAUAAAGUUGUUCUCAGUUCGGAUUGUAGUCUGCAACUCGACUACAUGAAGCUGGAAUCGCUAGUAAUCGUAGAUCAGCAUGCUACGGUGAAUACGUUCCCGGGUCUUGUACACACCGCCCGUCACACCACGAGAGUUUGUAACACCCGAAGCCGGUGGAGUAAC